rnacentral:rRNA from 1 species
GGUAGUCCACGCCGUAAACGAUGAUGGCUGGAUGUUGGCGAUACACCGUCAGCGUCUGAGGGAAACCAUUAAGCCAUCCACCUGGGGAGUACGGCCGCAAGGCUGAAACUCAAAGGAAUCGACGGGGGCCCGCACAAGCGGAGGAACAUGUGGUUUAAUUCGAUGAUACACGAGGAACCUUACCUGGGCUAGAACGUGGUCGGAGUGUGCUGGAAACGGUACAGCCCUUCGGGGCCGGCUACGAGGUGCUGCAUGGUUGUCGUCAGCUCGUGCCGUGAGGUGUCGGGUUAAGUCCCAUAACGAGCGCAACCCCUAUCACUAGUUGCCAGCGGGUCAUGCCGGGGACUCUAGUGAAACUGCCAGCGUAAGCUGUGAGGAAGGUGGGGAUGACGUCAAAUCAGCACGGCCCUUACGUCCAGGGCUACACACGUGUUACAAUGGCCGGUACAGAGGGCAGCCACCCCGCGAGGGGGCGCUAAUCUCCAAAGCCGGUCCCAGUUCGGAUCGGAGUCUGCAACCCGACUCCGUGAAGUUGGAUUCGCUAGUAAUCGCGUAUCAGCAACGACGCGGUGAAUACGUUCCCGGGCCUUGUACACACCGCCCGUCAAGCCAUGGAAGCUGGGGGUACCUGAAGUCCGUAACCGCAAGGAGCGGCCUAGGGUAAAACUGGUAACUGGGGCUAAGUCGUAAUCAAGGUAACCGUACUGAGCCAGGAUCAAACUCU